AUUGAACGCUGGCGGCAUGCCUAACACAUGCAAGUCGAACGGAGGUAGGGGCAACUCUACUUCAGUGGCGGACGGGUGAGGAAUGCGUCGGAAUCUACCCUAUGGUGGGGGAUAACACAGGGAAACUUGUGCUAAUACCGCAUAAUGUCGAGAGACCAAAGCAGGGGACCGCAAGGCCUUGCGCGAUAGGAUGAGCCGACGCCCGAUUAGCUUGUUGGUAGGGUAAUGGCCUACCAAGGCGACGAUCGGUAGCUGGUCUGAGAGGACGACCAGCCACACUGGGACUGAGACACGGCCCAGACUCCUACGGGAGGCAGCAGUGGGGAAUUUUGGACAAUGGGCGAAAGCCUGAUCCAGCAAUGCCGCGUGCAGGAUGAAGGCCU
rnacentral:rRNA from 1 species